rnacentral:rRNA from 1 species
AUGCCAGAGGAGGAAGAGGCGCUCUUCCAUGUCGGCUACAGGAGAAAGAGGAGGAGGAGGCGCUUCUCCGGCCAGACCCGGAGUCGGGGCCGGCACGCCACAGGCAUCUACGCCUACGACCACGACCACACGCACGGGCUGACGCCGCUGAUGAAGAUGCGUACCCUUAGCCACGAAUUUGUCCCCGAUCCCAUCCAUGCAGGUGGGCUUCGCUGCCAUGGAAUGACACCUCUGAUCUCCCAUGUAGAUGAGCUCGGGUUCAUGGAAGCCAUGUCCAUAAAGCAAACUGAGUGCUUCGAAGGUACUGACUAA